rnacentral:rRNA from 1 species
GAACGCUGGCGGCGUGCCUAACACAUGCAAGUCGAACGAAGCGACUUAGCGGAACCUUCCGGGGAAGCUGUUGUGACUGAGUGGCGGACGGGUGAGUAACGCGUGGGUAACCUGCCCUGUACAGGGGGAUAACAGCCGGAAAUGGCUGCUAAUACCGCAUAAGCGCACUGAUGGUAGCAUUACCAGGUGUGAAAAACUCCGGUGGUACAGGAUGGGCCCGCGUCUGAUUAGCUUGUUGGCGGGGUAAGAGCCUACCAAGGCAACGAUCAGUAGCCGGUCUGAGAGGAUGAACGGCCACAUUGGAACUGAGACACGGUCCAAACUCCUACGGGAGGCAGCAGUGGGGAAUAUUGCACAAUGGGGGGAACCCUGAUGCAGCAAACCGCCGCGUGAGUGAAGAAGUAUUUCGGUAUGUAAAGCUCUAUCAGCAGGGAAGAUAAUGACGGUACCUGACUAAGAAGCUCCGGCUAAAUACGUGCCAGCCGCAGC